rnacentral:lncRNA from 1 species
UGCCUUCUGCUGACAUCCUUGCCCUGAGCUGAGGAUCACUGGGCAUGUAGGUGCACCGUCAAUUUUGAGAGAACAAACUGCAUCCUCACCUCUUCAUUUCUAUCAACAGAGGACUGCAGGGAGAGGACAAGUGUGUUGCUUCAGAAUGAAAUGAUACGAAGGAGGAAGUUCAUGUCGGUCUUUUUAAUUUGCUCAGCACUGGCCUCAGGCCAAUACAGAGAGAUGGUUUCUCCUCUGAACAUCCUGAUACUGGGUCUCCAGCG